rnacentral:hammerhead_ribozyme from 1 species
AUCCAUCUGAAGAGUCUUAAAUAAGACAAAACGCGCUUCAAGCAA